rnacentral:rRNA from 1 species
CUUCCUACGGGAGGCAGCAGUGGGGAAUAUUGCACAAUGGGGGAAACCCUGAUGCAGCGACGCCGCGUGAAGGAAGAAGUAUUUCGGUAUGUAAACUUCUAUCAGCAGGGAAGAAAAUGACGGUACCUGACUAAGAAGCCCCGGCUAACUACGUGCCAGCAGCCGCGGUAAUACGUAGGGGGCAAGCGUUAUCCGGAUUUACUGGGUGUAAAGGGAGCGUAGACGGCAGUGCAAGUCUGAAGUGAAAGCCCCGGGCUUAACCCGGGAACUGCUUUGGAAACUGUACGGCUGGAGGGCUGGAGCGG